rnacentral:rRNA from 1 species
GCCCCACGGUGGACAUGUGGUUUAUUCGAUGCAACGCGAAGAACCUUACCUGGUCUUGACAUCCACAGAACUUAGCAGAGAUGCUUUGGUGCCUUCGGGAACUGUGAGACAGGUGCUGCAUGGCUGUCGUCAGCUCGUGUUGUGAAAUGUUGGGUUAAGUCCCGCAACGAGCGCAACCCUUAUCCUUUGUUGCCAGCGGUUAGGCCGGGAACUCAAAGGAGACUGCCAGUGAUAAACUGGAGGAAGGUGGGGAUGACGUCAAGUCAUCAUGGCCCUUACGACCAGGGCUACACACGUGCUACAAUGGCAUAUACAAAGAGAAGCGACCUCGCGAGAGCAAGCGGACCUCAUAAAGUAUGUCGUAGUCCGGAUUGGAGUCUGCAACUCGACUCCAUGAAGUCGGAAUCGCUAGUAAUCGUAGAUCAGAAUGCUACGGUGAAUACGUUCCCGGGCCUUGUACACACCGCCCGUAAA